UCCCUCCAGGUAACGACCAGGCUCCAGUCCUGUUCCUCAACACUUCCAGGGCCCAGGAGGGGGAAACAGUUUUGGUUCAGUGUGCCAUUGAUGCUCAGUUUCCUGCUACGCGAGUUGUCUUCUGCAAGAACGGGCUGGAGGAGUUCAGCUUGAGGGCCCAGCACGGCAAGGUCAUCUACGCUCUGGUCCUCAACGUCACCUCGAGAAAUGCCGGGACGUACACGUGUGGGUACCAGCAGAGGAACGAGAGCAACUGGGUACAGCCCUUACCAACCAAGACAUCCACAGCUCCCCAGCUCCCCAUGCCCGGCUCC
rnacentral:lncRNA from 1 species